GCUGGCGGCAGGCCUAACCUGCAAGUCGAACGAGAAGACCUUCGGGUGGUGGACAGUGGCAGACGGGUGGUAACGCGUGGGAACGUGCCUUUCGGUUCGGGAAACCCAGGGAAACUUGGGCUAAUACCGGAUACGCCCUUCGGGGGAAAGAUUCAUUGCCGAAAGAUCGGCCCGCGUCGGAUUAGCUAGUUGGUGAGGUAAAAGCUUCCAAGGCGACGAUCCGUAGCUGGUCUGAGAGGAUGACCAGCCACACUGGGACUGAGACACGGCCCAGACUCCUACGGGAGGCAGCAGUGGGGAAUAUUGGACAAUGGGCGCAAGCCUGAUCCAGCCAUGCCGCGUGGGUGAAGAAGGCCUUAGGGUUGUAAACCCCUUUCAGCGGGGAAGAUAAUGACGGUACCCGCAGAAGAAGCCCCGGCUAACUCCGUGCCAGCAGCCGCGGUAAUACGGAGGGGGCGAGCGUUGUUCGGAAUUACUGGGCGUAAAGCGCGCGUAGGCGGACCUGUAAGUCGGGGGUGAAAGCCCGAGGCUCAACCUCGGAACUGCCUCUGAUACUACAGGUCUUGAGUCCGAGAGAGGUGAGUGGAAUUCCUAGUGUAGAGGUGAAAUUCGUAGAUAUUAGGAAGAACACCAGUGGCGAAGGCGGCUCACUGGCUCGGUACUGACGCGAGGUGCGAAAGCGUGGGGAGCACAACAGGAGUUAGAUACCCUGGUUGUCCACGCCGUAAACUAUGGGUGCUAGCCGUCGGGGAGCUUGCUCUUCGGUGGCGCCAGCUAACGCAUUAAGCCCCCCGCCUGGGGAGUACGGUCGCAAGAUAAAACUACAAGAUGAAGUCGAGACGCAA
rnacentral:rRNA from 1 species